rnacentral:lncRNA from 1 species
GUCCCAUCUCUCUGCUCUGUGGGUAUGGUGACUGCACCUUGUCCUGUGCAUGUAACAUUGCAUUUUGCUUCCUAAAAUAUGUCUUUGAGCCAAAGCAUGUGAUCAGACAGUCUUGAUGGACCUGAGUGCCCUGCCCUCCUCAUUACUUACUGCUGUGACAGCUUCUCUGACCUAAACAGCUUACAUCAGCUGCAAGUAAUAUAUUUACUUUCAGAAAGCUGAUGACAAUGUUGACUACCUCUGGGCAAGGCAGUAGAUCCUGACAACCAACCAUUGGUGAUGUUUUCUCACUGAAAAAUCCCUUCCAGCUUCUGCAAGUGAGCCAGUUCCCAAUCUAUUGAAUGUAUGCUUUAUUUCUAUAGAGCAGCAGCAGCUUUUCAAAAAGAAGGUUGUGCAAUGUUCAGUCAUGCACCACAUGAAAGUUUGUAUUAUGCCUGUAACAGACUCUUUGAUGAACUGAACUCAUAAUUUUGUCGGAAAAUGAGAUCAGGCCUAUUUCCCAUGAAGAACAUUGACUGACAUUUGUUGCAAAUGUAAUUAUUUUGUGAGGCGGAGUGGUGUCACCUCACCUAAUUUUAACCAAAUAAUAGUUUGCUGUCUGAUCCAAACCAGCUGCCAAGGUUCGUUCUGUAGUCAACAGAGCGAGAUCAGCCCUCCAGCAGCUGAAUCAUCUAAUCUACGUUAGACAUCUGUCUUACAGUAGGAUGAUUGCUGUUUGGAAGAGCCUACCUGUCUCCAUUGACUGAAGAAGGAGCAAGGAUUAAUGUUGAGCUAGCCUGUGUAUAGCUACCUAGGUGAAAUCACUUCUUCUGUUAAAAUAUUGGCACAGUUUUACCAUUCCUUUCUCCAACUGUUGGGAAAUGCAUUGUUCCCCCUUCAGGACUCUCAUGACUCAUAGUCUGCGGAGUUUCAGCGUGCAUCACUCCAAAGAUAUCAGAAUAGUGCUGGAAGGGCACAGAUGUACAGCUGCAACAAUGAAGUGCUGAAACCAGCCAAGGAUUUAGAAGCUAUUAAUUACAAAUAAAACAAAUGAGUGCAUUUCA